rnacentral:rRNA from 1 species
UACGUAGGGUGCAAGCGUUAAUCGGAAUUACUGGGCGUAAAGCGUGCGCAGGCGGUGAUGUAAGGCAGAUGUGAAAUCCCCGGGCUCAACCUGGGAACUGCAUUUGUGACUGCAUCGCUGGAGUGCGGCAGAGGGGGAUGGAAUUCCGCGUGUAGCAGUGAAAUGCGUAGAUAUGCGGAGGAACACCGAUGGCGAAGGCAAUCCCCUGGGCCUGCACUGACGCUCAUGCACGAAAGCGUGGGGGAGCAAACAGG